GAAGACGACGAGCGCAGACUGGAGAGAAGAGACGGCAGUGACGGUUGAAGAUGGUGAUGCGGCGCGAGCUGACAGAGAUGAUCCCAUUAAAACGAACAAUAUCUUCAAAAAGAAUGGCUUCGACACGUUCAGUUGAAAGAACUGAUCACAAUGGUGGGAUUAGGGCAUCAAAUCAAAUGGAUGAAGGAUGAAGGAGUUUGGUUGAAUAUCAUUCAUAGUUACCGUUCGUGACCCUCCUUAUGUUGAAGAUUGACAAGGAAAAGGAUUUCCAUAAUCAAGUUUGCCUGAGGAUAGUGAACCAAAUGUCCAAGAAAGAGAAGACUACUCUAACCAAUUCUGGACAGUCAAGUGGAGACUACUGCUUAAUGAGGAAGAUGGCGGCUCAGAUUUUGCUUUUGGAUUUGAAAAGAACGAGAUAUUUAAUUUGUUUGUGAUUUGCUCUGAUAUUCUGAUUGAUUCGCUAAUGUGCUCAAUUGUACCUCAAAUGUAAAUGUAUCUCAGCUCACUAUCAUAUUUUGCUAUAUUUGUUUUUGUAUUAAUUACAUUUUGUCUGUAUCUCAUUGUCAGUGUGCUUUUUUUUUAAUAAAAAAUUUGUGAUUGAACAA